rnacentral:miRNA from 1 species
CUUCCAGCCGUCGAGGUACUUGUACCUCAACGACUGGAAGGAGACCCUUCCAGCCGUCGAGGUACUUGUACCUCAACGACUGGAAUUCCAGCCGUCGAGGUACUUGUACCUCAACGACUGGAAGGGUGUCCUUCCAGUCAACGAGGUACUUGUACCUCAACGGCUGGAAG